UAAGCAACCCCACUUCAAAAGAGUCGCUGACUUGAAGCAUGCCCCUUUUGAAACGUCCCCGAUGCCUCUGCCUCUCACUUUUGGGCUCACUGUGUGUGUUUGAUACUUCCGGUUCGCUAACGUCUGUACCUCAGCCGUGGGCCCAGGUGGGAGAGACCACAGAAUUCACAGAACACUUAAGAGGUAAUAAGAAUCUCGCAGUUCAGUGACUCACUCAUUCAACAUACUCUUAACAUUUGGGACUUGGAAAACUGGAAAUGAUGAAUCAAAGAGUCACCUGGAGUCAGACAGAGAUCUGAAACUGAAUCAGCAGAGGACUUUACUCGCCGAACGGGUACUAAGCCUCGGUGAGAGGACAGGAUUUAGCCAUGUGACUUGCUGGAGACAGAAUACAGGCGGAAGCGGCAGCAGCCAGCUCCGGAGUCGCUGAGCCUCCCCUUUCCCACCUCUUGAGCAAUUGUCCUUGGCCAUGAGAAUACCAGAUAGCGGGAGUCCUUCAGCCGGACAAAGAAGGAGCAGACAAGGGAGACAGCUGUGUGUGACCCAAAGCUCGGAGGCCAGCCCGACCCAGCUAACCCACGGUGCUGAGAUUGAAUUUAGGGGCCUUGCACGUCUGGUCAAUCACUCCAGGACUGAUCUCCAUCCCUGUCUCUGGUUCUUGUAGUUCGCCGGUCUCACUGAGAAGCACAGGAACUGUCUACCCUGUGCUGUGAGGACAGGAACUCUUAUUGGAGCUCAUCAAAUAGUCUGCAGGGUCCCGAGUGGCCUUUCUGCCUCUGCCCUGUCCUCUCAGUGAUGGCAGCCUUGAAACUGUCUUCUGAGUUAUGGCAGCUACGCCCACAGGACUGGGUGACCCAGUGGGGCCUGGAGGUGGGGGACCACCACUGUCUGUCCUUGGUCUGAGAGGUGACCACAGCGGCUAAGAUGACCACAGGGGAAAUGGAGCAGGAUCCGAUCAUACAGAAGAGAUCUUCCGAGUCCACGGGAGUGAUGGGAGAUUGGAUUGUAUGAUGCUUGGAAAGUUCUUAGCAUACCGCUUGUGUUGGGGAAGUGCUUAUGGUGGACCAUUGUUAUUAUUGUCAGCACUGGUCAUUAUUACAAUAUCCAUCACUUUUGUAAUUAUUGUCGUUGUCAUUGUCAUCAUCAUCAUCUUCACUAGGCAUGGCCAGGUAAGGCAGAGGUGACUAGCUGCCCCUCCCCCCACCCUGGAAAUUUCAUACCUUCUCUUUCAUAAAGUAGGAAGAGCUGCCCCAGACAGGAACUACAUUUCCCAUACUCCCAUGCAUCUGUGUGGGACCACAUGACUAUUUCUCAUUAGUGGACUGUGAACAGAAACAUAGGCACGGGAGACUGAGUUGAGUCCACCUUCUCUCUUCUCCCCUCCACCACCCACUAUGGAGAAUCAGAGGACUCUGGGGCUCCAGUAGGGAGUCUAGUUGUUCUGACCUCCAUUACCACAGUCCAAUUCUGCUUUUUCUUGAAUAUCGUGUAAAAGGAAUCAUACAAAUCACUUGUUUUUUUCUACAUUCAUAUUUUACGUUUUUGUAACUUUGUAUUUGUUCUCUGCUUUGCUAUUGUGCUGUAUUGCACUCUAUUGUAACCUGUCCCUUCCGUGUUCUUAUUGUUGGGGGUUUGUACUGUGUCCAGUGUUUGACUAUUAUAAGUAAAGCCACAACGGGUUAUCUGUGUA
rnacentral:sRNA from 1 species